ACCAACUUUGUCAGGAGCUCAGAUAACAGCUUUCUCACUCAGGGUACCUAGACUCCUUCAAUUCCUCCUUUAUACGACAGUAAAUCGCCGUCUUGCUCGCUCUUAUUUCUAAAAGUGGGUCAGUCUUCAGUGCUUGCCUUUCAGUUUCUGGGAAAUGUCUACUGUCUUCUAUCCUCUUGUUUAGCAGCUCAGGCCAAAGAGAAUGAAAGAGACAGAGCCUCGCCACUUAGGUCAUCAAAAGAGUAAGCUGGGAUUUUUGUCCUUUGCUCCUUCAGGCUUUGAAACGGAUUUGUAUGGGACCAGGUUUGUACCAGAAAGGCGUCGGCAUAGCUUGUUAUUUAGCUUAUCGGUCGCCGGUUCUAAUAGGCCAUAAACGCAGAUCCAUACGAAUCUUCCCCAUAUUCCUUUAAAAACCCCAAGCCCGUGAUGAUGGCCGGUCUGGACCCCUCUCUGAGGAUCCCGGGGGAGCUUCACUGGCGAUGAAUGCGGGAACCCCGGAACAGAACAAAUCGGUCUCAUAAGCAACAAGUGACAGCCUUUCUGAAUACAGCUGCUUUCUUCAUUAGAAAACUAAAAAUAGCCCCAAUCAUUGCAGGCUGGUUUCACUUUAAGCCUUCUGCCACAUCCACUUGCCUGCUUCAUUCAGGGCUUCUGCGUGGCUAUGACACCGUGAUACUAUUUCAGACGAAAAGUGCAUUGAAGAAACGUUUCCUUUCCCUCCCCCACGUUCACUCCAGAUGUCCUCGACUGUCCACGCUGUUUCAUAUUAGGGGAACUCACGGGAAUCUUCCGGCAUCCCUGCCACCCCCAUCUGCCUCACCCGUUUUUGGAAAAAUAAACACCAUCCACACCGAGAGCAAGAAAUUACCGUUAUUAGGAUUUUUUUUUUCUUCUUCCGUGAAAUGUUCAUUACAUGCGUGAUGUUCUAUGGAUAGCUCAUGGAAUCUUGACUACAACUACCCUUUCCAGCUCAGAUUCAGUUUGUGGAGACAUUUUUUUUUUUUUUUCCUUCUGGAGCUGGCUGACUGCGACCACUGGCAAAGUCAGUUUCCUUUGCAGCUUUAAAAAGUGAUCCGGAAACACAAUGGGGAGGCAGCCUAUGUGAGCAGGGUUUCAGCACCCUCGCUGGUUCUGUUCAGUCCCUGGUUUCGCUGCUUCAACAUAUUGUUUGUCAGUGCCUGUUCCGUACCUGGAACGUGACCCAGUCGGUGUCCUCAUAAGCUCGCAGUCUCGUGCAGGAAUGGAAAAGCCAGCAAGCCCCAGAGCGGUCCAGGGCUUUGCCUAAAGUUCUCAAACCCUCCUACAUGCAAAUAGCUCUAGAAUGAUUCACUCGAAUGAUAGACCACCAUGGAGGUGUCACACAUAUUGGAAAACAGAAGGACAAAGACGGUGACCAUUUCUGAAAAAAUUAAUGGCUACGGAUUUGAAGUUUUGACACACAUCUGGAAAGAGGCCAGAGACAGAGGAAGUAUGCUGGCCAGACUGGAUCAGUGCAUAUGAUCUGUCGGCUGACGCAGAGCCCUGGCCGAAGCAGCUCCCGCACCACACAAGCUCACCUUCGGCCAUCUUCGUAUUGACCAUGACUUGCGUGGAUAUUUUGGCCCCAACGAGAAGACUGGAUGGAUAUCAGGAAGGAGUCGUGGACCUUCACUGAAAAGAGAGCGUUAUUCUCUAAUAAUGAACAUUUGUGGUGGCUUGUAAAUCUUCUGGGAGAUAGAUAACACGGUGUCUAUUAGUAACACGCUUUUGUUUGUUUUAAAUUUUGCGCUGGAAUAUAUUUCCAAGCAUGUCUGGAAGAAUACUAUUAGAGAGGGACUUUACUUUUCAUUAAUAAUUUUAGGAGAAAAAGUUUAUAGUAGGAUUUGUGACCCACAGAUCCCAAAGUGUUGCAUAAAUAACACAGGAAACUGCAAAAUGAUCUUAUGUAAAGUCACUCCACAAGAUGCAUGUUUAAUUAGCACCUACUAAUAAAACAGAUGCAUGUGAAAUUAUUUAGGGUGACAUGUGCUAUUCUGAACAAUACGAUAUCAGCGCAGGAUGCCAAGGGCAAGCAACAUAACCUGUUUUUAAUUGAGCAUUUUAUCACCAAACAGAAUAAGAGACAGCUUGUGUUUUAUAUAUUUCUGUAGUACAUCAUUAUCCAACAAUAAAUGCAAAAAUAAAUUACAAAAAAAAAAAAAAAAAAACAACCCAAACUUCAAGCAG